UACGGAGGGGGCUAGCGUUGUUCGGAAUUACUGGGCGUAAAGCGCGCGUAGGCGGCUUUGUAAGUUAGAGGUGAAAGCCCAGGGCUUAACCCUGGAAUUGCCUUUAAGACUGCAUCGCUAGAAUCGUGGAGAGGUGAGUGGAAUUCCGAGUGUAGAGGUGAAAUUCGUAGAUAUUCGGAAGAACACCAGUGGCGAAGGCGACAUACUGGGUCAUGACUGACGCUGAGGCUCGAAAGCGUGGGGAGCAAACAGG
rnacentral:rRNA from 1 species